rfam:Candidatus Bathyarchaeota archaeon RBG_13_38_9 RBG_13_scaffold_15688, whole genome shotgun sequence.
CAUUCCUUCCGUUCGGAAUGACCUUAUUAUGGCAUGCGUCCCCAGUAAUGAGGAGGUGUGAAGCUCAUAAGACAAUGUGGAAAACUCUGAAAGUCAUUAUCAGAUAAUCUGCUAAGGUAAGAAUACCAUGAAGAAACACAUGUUGAAUC